GCCCCCAUAGCCCAAUCGGCAGAGGCGGCCGCCUUAAAAGCGGCACAGUGCGGGUUCGAGUCCCGCUGGGGGCACCG
rnacentral:tRNA from 3 species